UGUGAAAAUUUGUUUUCUGAAAAACUUGCAAUUUGUUUAAAUGUCGAGACGAUUAAAUUUAGGUCGGCGAACGCGAAAUUCGUUUCAAGUUGUGGCUUCAAGGAGCCGUGAAAGUAGCCAAGACAUUACACAUCGCAAUGAAAAUAAUCGUCUACGCCCAGCAAAGUCCCGUUCAAAUCAACGGAACAAUGAUGCAACAACAACUGCAAAUGAGCGUCGUGAUAUUCAAAAUCUACAAGGUGUUGCGUUCGCGUACAGUAGUGUCACCGAUUACGCUUCUCAUAGGCAAAUUAUAAUUGGUACAAUGAACGACCGUUGUCGCCAUUGUCAGGCAUUAAAAUUUAAAGGUGAAGCAGAUGGGAUGUGCUGUGCGAGUGGUAAAGUGAAAUUGCCUUAAUUGGGCAGCCCACCACAACCAUUGAGCACAUUACUUAAUGGAUUGACACCUGAGUCUAAUCAUUUUUUGAACAAUAUACGAAAGUAUAAUUCGAGUGUCGUAGGUUGGAUAAGUAAUUAUAUUGUUUAUUGAAUAAAGAAUUAGAACGGA